GGAAAUGAAGGAAACAUAAUGGAUAUUUAUAGAUUAAGAAAAGCAUGAUUUGUUUUUCUUCAAAAUACAAGAUUAAAAAAUAGAAUUUAAUAGAUGUAAAGAAAUGUUGCUACACACUCGUGUACAGUAGGUGGCAGCAUGGACCUUAAAGUUGCUUGCGAUCCACCAUAAUAGAGAAGAAGAGACAGAUGCCAGAUGGUUGACUACUACUCGUGGUACUACUACGGUCGCUGUGUCCUCACAGACAACUUACUAUUCGUCUUACCUUUGAUCUCCUCUUUUCUUGUAGGUACCCAGCGUCACGCUGAUUCUUUGGCCUGGGGAUUUCCUCCUGCGGCGUCUGUCUCCCGUCCUCCUCGCUGCUCCCGUUCUGAAACAUCCGUGGCUCACCUCCAGUCCUCACCUGCCUGUCCACCCUCCUACUGUCCAUUUAAUCCAGCCGAGGAACCUGAAAAGCCAAACCGGUCACAACUCACCCAGUCCACCGGCAAGCAGCCAACCACUGGAGCUGUGGAUGCUCUGCGCCCCUCCUCGCUCGCCUCCCCCGCUUCAUAAAGUUCUUCCUACGUCCAAAGGCCCCAAGAAGAAUCCAAAACGGCUCAUGUCAAAUUGUGGACCAUGUUGUCAGAUAUGUGCAGCAUUUUGUCAAAGAUGGGAGCCAGUGUUGAAGCCUUUCUCAUUGUUGUGGAACAAGGGCAGCCCUUCUUCCUGCGUUUGUGAAAACAAGAGCAGCACCAAAGACACUUCUACCAUCUACUUCUACCAAAAGCUACCAUUCAUGGUAGCUUUUGAUAAACUUUCAAAGCACACUUCAUCUUCAGUGCAAAGUACCAUGAAUGAUAUAUUGCUGUCAGUGCUGUUUGUUGUUUUGAAAUAAAGUAGAUUAUGUACUGCAACUGGUGCUAGUGUUUUUGUAGAUUCAAGUGGCAUCUAAUGUCUUUUAAAAUUAAUUUGGGGAUUAUUGAUGGCCAGUGG